UCUUUACGCAGGUGAGCAGUCCUAUAUUAGAUUAUGCCCUUCAAUGACAUUGUCUUUCCACCGUACGACAUUACUGGAAUUCCUUUUUGGUGAUCUAAAUCAUCGUAUGUAAGAUAGCGCGUAGCAUUUCGCUAAGAACCAAGACUCACGAUCUACUAAGCUUUAUAUUGAUUCAAAUCCAAUCGUGACUGACAGGAAAUUUUACUACACAACGAGUAGUACACGCAUGUGUUAAACAUAUAGAUGAAGUCACUUCAAAACGAACCACCUAUGAGCUAAAACUUGACACUUAGAUAGAGGAGGAAGUAGAAAGAAAAUCUUUAUACGCUAUUAUCAUCCAAUGAAUUCAUUGCAACACCACGAAUAAUGAGACUUCUGUCUCGCGUACCUGCCCGACGGGUA
rnacentral:lncRNA from 1 species